rnacentral:lncRNA from 1 species
UAACAUACAUACAUGGAAGAGCUCUAAAUCUUUGAACAAAAAGAUCCAAGCAACUGAAUACACCGUCCAUUGAUUGAACUGCCUAUUUCGGAUGACUGUGUCAAGAUUGGCAUAUCAUAUACAGCCUACAAGACCCAACUCUCAUAAACCCUCAAGAGAGAGAGAACCAACUUAAGGAUCACGAGAACAUAAAACGGAAGCAAACUAGGAACUCCAUCAUUCAAGAGGAAUGCAGCCUGUCCUGUUUCAUAGGCUCCCGUCCCAACAUCUAGUUGCAAAGCUCCUCCAGAUUGCCUUCAUCCUCUCCUUCUUUCGCUUCUUUCUUCUUGGCUUCUCUUCCCUGGGUUUCUCCAUUGAUAAUACGAAGGAGAUCCUGUCCAAGAAAUUCCUCAGCCGUUUGGGUGAAGAAAAAGCCAUCAUCACCAUCUUCUUCCUCUUUCUUCCCUACUUCUUUCCUCCCUCCUAGCACUCCUCUUUUCUCUUCUUUCUCAUGCUCUCCUCCUUUGACGGUUCGUUGGAGGUCAAAGCCGAACUGCUCCCAGGGAGUUUGAGUGAAGAAAGAGAAAGAGUUGAUCUCUCGCCCCCACUUGCGAACCUCCAUGGCCUUCCUCUCUAUCAAGAUUCUCGGCGAAGAAGAGUUCAAGAAGACUUGUGCUUUAUCCUACUGGCUGUGGUUGGAGCCGAGCUGCUCUCAGGUAGUCAGAGGGAAGAAAGAGAAAGACUUGAUCU